rnacentral:rRNA from 1 species
UACGUAGGGAGCGAGCGUUGUCCGGAUUUAUUGGGCGUAAAGAGCUCGUAGGCGGUUCGGUAAGUCAGGUGUGAAAACCUCAGGCUCAACCUGGGGACGCCACCUGAUACUGCUGUGACUUGAGUCUGGUAGGGGAGCACGGAAUUCCUGGUGUAGCGGUGAAAUGCACAGAUAUCAGGAGGAACACCGGUGGCGAAGGCGGUGCUCUGGGCCAGUACUGACGCUGAGGAGCGAAAGCGUGGGGAGCGAACAGG